rnacentral:sRNA from 1 species
UGUGCCUGUUAAAAUAAAGAUGAUGGCGUGGCAAAUCCUGUCUUUCACCUUGACUGUUGGUUUCACUCUUUUAAGAAAAAAAAAGCAUUUUCAUAUUUUUUAAUGCUGUGUGUGUGUGUGUGUGUGUGUGUGUUGCUGGGGAUUGAACCCAG